rnacentral:rRNA from 1 species
UGGCUCAGAUUGAACGCUGGCGGCAGGCUUAACACAUGCAAGUCGAACGAUGGAACCUAGCUUGCUAGGGGAAAUAGUGGCGAACGGGUGAGUAACAUUUAGGAAACUGCCUUAUAGAGGGGGAUAGCUCGGGGAAACUCGAAUUAAUACCGCAUACGUCCUACGGGAGAAAGGAGCUUUARGSUUYUGCUAUAAGAUGUGCCUAAAUUAGAUUAGCUAGAUGGUGAGGUAAAGGCUCACCAUGGCGACGAUCUAUAACUGGUCUUAGAGGAUGAUCAGUCACACCGGAACUGAGACACGGUCCGGACUCCUACGGGAGGCAGCAGUGGGGAAUAUUGGACAAUGGGGGMAACCCUGAUCCAGCCAUGCCGCGUGUGUGAAGAAGGUCAUAAGAUUGUAAAGCACUUUAAGCAGGGAGGAAGA